UGCUGGGCGGCAGCUACCAUGCAGUCGAGCGGUAGCACAGAGAAGCUUGCUUCUUGGGUGACGAGCGGCGGACGGGUGAGUAAUGCAUAGGAAUCUGCCCGAUAGUGGGGGAUAACCUGGGGAAACCCAGGCUAAUACCGCAUACGUCCUACGGGAGAAAGGGGGCUCCGGCUCCCGCUAUUGGAUGAGCCUAUGUCGGAUUAGCUAGUUGGUGAGGUAAAGGCUCACCAAGGCAACGAUCCGUAGCUGGUCUGAGAGGAUGAUCAGCCACAUCGGGACUGAGACACGGCCCGAACUCCUACGGGAGGCAGCAGUGGGGAAUAUUGGACAAUGGGCGCAAGCCUGAUCCAGCCAUGCCGCGUGUGUGAAGAAGGCCCUCGGGUUGUAAAGCACUUUCAGCGAGGAAGAACGCCUAGCGGUUAAUACCCGCUAGGAAAGACAUCACUCGCAGAAGAAGCACCGGCUAACUCCGUGCCAGCAGCCGCGGUAAUACGGAGGGUGCAAGCGUUAAUCGGAAUUACUUUUUU
rnacentral:rRNA from 1 species